rnacentral:rRNA from 1 species
UACGGAAGGGGCGAGCGUUGUUCGGAAUCAUUGGGCGUAAAGGGCGCGUAGGUGGUUCUGUAUGUCUACCGUGAAAGCGUACGGCUCAACCGUAUUUUGUCGGUAGAAACUGCAGGACUUGAGGCUGGGAGGGGCUGGUGGAAUUCCCUGUGUAGCGGUGAAAUGCGUAGAGAUGGGGGAGAACACUCGUGGCGAAGGCGGCCAGCUAGACCAGUUCUGACACUGAGGCGCGCAGCGUGGGGAGCAAACAGG